rnacentral:rRNA from 1 species
UACGUAGGGUGCGAGCGUUGUCCGGAAUCAUUGGGUUUAAAGGGUCCGUAGGCGGUUUAGUAAGUCAGUGGUGAAAGCCCAUCGCUCAACGGUGGAACGGCCAUUGAUACUGCUGAACUUGAAUUACUGGGAAGUAACUAGAAUAUGUAGUGUAGCGGUGAAAUGCUUAGAUAUUACAUGGAGUACCAAUUGCGAAGGCAGGUUACUACCAGUUUAUUGACGCUGAUGGACGAAAGCGUGGGGAGCGAACAGG